CCAAUAGCGUAUAUUAAAGUUGCUGCAGUUAAAAAGCUCGUAGUUGAAUUUCGGGACCAAUAUGUCGGUNNNNCCUCGGNACGNNNNGGCNUCNUUGGUUUCUCCCUUCUGACGAACCAUGAUGUCAUUUAUUUGGUGUUGUGGGGAAUCAGGACUGUUACUUUGAAAAAAUUAGAGUGUUUAUAGCAGGCUCACGCUUGAAUACAUUAGCAUGGAAUAAUGAAAUAGGACGUUUGAUUCUAUUUUGUUGGUUUCUAGGAUCGACGUAAUGAUUAAUAGGGAUAGUUGGGGGCAUUAGUAUUCAAUUGUCAGAGGUGAAAUUCUUGGAUUUAUUGAAGACUAACUACUGCGAAAGCAUUUGCCAAGGAUGUUUUCAUUAAUCAAGAACGAAAGUUAGGGGAUCGAAGACGAUCAGAUACCGUCGUAGUCUUAACCAUAAACUAUGCCGACUAGGGAUCGGAUGAUGUUAAUUUUUUAAUGACUCAUUCGGCGCCUUACG
rnacentral:rRNA from 1 species